rnacentral:rRNA from 1 species
ACGAACGCUGGCGGCGUGCUUAACACAUGCAAGUCGCACGGAAAGGCCUCUUUCGGGGGGUACUCGAGUGGCGAACGGGUGAGUAACACGUGAGUAACCUGCCCUUGACUUUGGGAUAACUUCAGGAAACUGGGGCUAAUACCGGAUAGGAGCUCCUGCUGCAUGGUGGGGGUUGGAAAGUUUCGGCGGUUGGGGAUGGACUCGCGGCUUAUCAGCUUGUUGGUGGGGUAGUGGCUUACCAAGGCUUUGACGGGUAGCCGGCCUGAGAGGGUGACCGGCCACAUUGGGACUGAGAUACGGCCAAGACUCCUAGGGAGGCAGCAGUGGGGAAUAUUGCACAAUGGGUGGAAGCCUGAUGCAGCAACGCCGUGUGCGGGAUGACGGCCUUCGGGUUGUAAACCGCUUUCGCUCAUGACGAAGCUUUGUGUGACGGUAGUGGGUAAAGAAGCACCGGCUAACUACGUG